rnacentral:rRNA from 1 species
GACGAACGCUGGCGGCGUGCUUAACACAUGCAAGUCGAGCGGUAAGGCCUUUCGGGGUACACGAGCGGCGAACGGGUGAGUAACACGUGGGUGAUCUGCCCUGCACUUCGGGAUAAGCCUGGGAAACUGGGUCUAAUACCGGAUAUGACCUCCUAUCGCAUGGUGGGUGGUGGAAAGAUUUAUCGGUGCAGGAUGGGCCCGCGGCCUAUCAGCUUGUUGGUGGGGUAAUGGCCUACCAAGGCGACGACGGGUAGCCGACCUGAGAGGGUGACCGGCCACACUGGGACUGAGACACGGCCCAGACUCCUACGGGAGGCAGCAGUGGGGAAUAUUGCACAAUGGGCGAAAGCCUGAUGCAGCGACGCCGCGUGAGGGAUGACGGCCUUCGGGUUGUAAACCUCUUUCAGCAGGGACGAAGCACAAGUGACGGUACCUGCAGAAGAAGCACCGGCUAACUACGUG